rnacentral:rRNA from 1 species
CCUACGGGAGGCAGCAGUGAGGAAUAGUGGUCAAUGGACGAGAGUCUGAACCAGCCAAGUAGCGUGAAGGAUGACUGCCCUAUGGGUUGUAAACUUCGUUUAUAAAGGAAUAAAACGAGGCACGUGUGCCUUUUUGCAUGUACUUUAUGAAUAAGGAUCGGCUAACUCCGUGCCAGCAGCCGCGGUAAUACGGAGGAUCCGAGCGUUAUCCGGAUUUAUUGGGUUUAAAGGGAGCGUAGAGGGGUUGUUAAGUCAGUUGUGAAAGUUUGCGGCUCCACCGUAAAAUUGCAAUUGAUACUGGCAGUCUUGAGUACAGUUGCGUUCGGCGGAAUUCGUGGUGUCGCGG